UGGUAGAUAUAUUUUCAUUCUGGAGAAAAUUAAUGGCUACAUCUUGGGCUUGAAUUUUCUAUAGAAUCAGUCCCAGAAUAUUGGACAUGGAAACACUCUUAGCGAUAUUUAGUUUCUCUUCUUCAGAUGAAGAGACUAAAGCCUAGAGAGGGAAGGGACUUGCUCAGGGUCACAUAGCAAGUUAGGGACACAUUUGGGAGUGGGGACCUGUAGUUGUGACACCUUUCCUUGGUUUUAUUCUUCAUUUUCAUGGGGAGGGCAGAGAGUGGCUGGGCUAAAACAUAUGAGCCAUCUCUGAACAAUACCUGAGAGUUUUAAGGCCUAUUUCAGCAUCUAAGUGUAUUGUCUCUAAUGGAGAUCUCUGACUUCCAGGCCCAGUGGAUUCUCAAGAUGAAAUUCCUGCCAUAAUUGCUGACUGCAGCUCCUCAGAGCUAUAGACUAGCUUGACCCGGAAACUCUACUGUGGGUCACAUCUUCUCCACUGGUCUGGCUCCUGUACAGUGUGGCUUGGUCUGGUUUGAGUGCAGAGGUACAUUUGAAUGGAAGCCUCCCAUAAAUGAUUUUUAUGAUGGCAGCCAACUUGAGGAAUUCUUGAGAGCUGAGAAUGUUCUUUGAGUCAUUCUGGGGAAUCGUGAUGGGACGCAUUCUAUUUUGUACCUCCAGAUAAAAGAAAGACAACCCUACUAUGGAAAGGAAAUUAGCUACAGAUAUUAAAAGGCCGAGUACAGCUUCUUUGAGCCAUGAGCUUUCUAGCAGAUAUUUAUGAUUUGAUCCUAUGCAAAUGUGAAACGUCUGUGGACAGGCUGCUUUAAAGAUCACUACUAGCCCAGCAACUGCAAAAAUGUUGAAAACAGCACUUUAAGUACUUUGUGUUUGAUGUUAAGUUAUUGCUAAUUUUUUGGAUCUGGGGAAGUUCCAUUUCCAGAAAUCAGAUACAGUAUUAUAAGAACACAAGGGAAUCAUUUCCAGCACUAUUUAUAUAAAUGUAAGGAUUCAACACAAAUGCAAAUUAAAAACUG
rnacentral:lncRNA from 1 species